AGAAUAAAUAAACAUUAAAAAAGAAAAAAAUAAAAACUCAGACUUAAUGUUGUGGGAAGCAAGAAAAUUGUGCCAUCAAUGCCACCGACCAUUCCAGGAGGCACGUCGGUGGUCUGGAGCAGGAAGCGCUGAUGAAGGGGGGCAGGGAAAGUGUUCUGACCAAAUCAUGUGGCCCCUAAAAGCAAGCCCUGGGGCCCUGGAAGAGGAAUAAAGAGGUCACCACCGUCACUACAAUCUAGGGUUUUAUCCCUGGAAACGCAGCAAGAGCUGCAGGGUGAGCAGCCGUGUAUGAGGUCGGCGUCAGAGAAGCCCCCUCACCCACGUGGCCACGUCUGACCACACUCCCCCCCUCGUCUGUGUCAGAGAAGCUCUCUGGGCUUCAAAUGGGCGUCUUUCUUGGGCCUGUGCCCUUGCCCCGAACUUGAUCCUCUCAACAGAUUUCCCGCCCAUGCUCCGCGCCAGGGCCUCUCAGCCCCCGCGCAUGGGAUCUGACGCCGCUCACCGCGUUCCAGCAUCCUAGUCACGUGGCGAAGGGUGGACGUGGGUGAACCAGGGUCUGUGACCUGGUGGAGGAGGAGACAGUGUCCAUCGCGAUCUCCAGAAGGGAGUAAACUGCCCGCCUUUCGGCAUGUUCGUUCAACACCCCUGACUCUCGUACCGACUCGGGUGCCAAGGGGCCAGAUGAGCAACGUGACCCAGAGGCAGGCGGAGCCGGGUCCCUCGAGGUCAGGCGAAGAGACAGCGGCAGCAGAACGCCACCGUGACUGCCACCAAAGCCCACAGGAACGCGGAAUUUACCGGAUGCCUCCUGUGCUUUAAUAUCCUGACAUGAAUGGGAGCAUCAAGGCAGAGGGCACUCAGCUGAGAGCUCUAACGGCUGCCCACCUGGAGAGACGGGACCACAGGGAAGGCCAGCGUGACCCAGAGCACCUUCCUGAGAACGGGCACCCAGUCCCCCGUGGCCUCCUCUGAGCACUGGACACCCCCAUGAGCCCCACAGGUCUGACCCCUCCCUUUCCCCUUAGAGUAAAAUCCAGACUCCUCACAAAAUCCAGCUGGACGGCGAGCCCCUGGCCUCCCCUCCCAGCCCACAGGCCUCCCUGCCUCCCUCCUGACUCGGGGCCUCCGUGUCUGUUCUCUGUUCUCUCCUCCGGCCAGAAGGUCCUUCCGCCCCUUGAAUUCUGCAAGUCUCACCUCAGAGGACUCGGCCCCCAAGAAGCCUUUCUGGAAAGUACUUCCCAACACCCCUGUGCCCCACCCCCCCACCACCCGGUCACUCUCGCGACAGCAUGACGUGACUAUUGAAAUAGCGCGCUUACGGGUACAUUUAGCAUUUUAUGAUCUGUCUCCACAAGGCAAGUCGAAGUUCCGGGUAGGGCAGGGCCGCGCUCCUGCUGUUCCCUGCACCCCCCUGCACAGUGUUUUAACAAACCUGUGACCCCGACGGUCACCUUGGGGGAAUCUCAAUGGGUCAGGCUCUGCUCACAGCACGCAGCUCGCCUGUGACAGAGUGACAGGGUCUCCCACGUAAUGGGCACCCCAGGGCUCAAUCGUGUCCAUCGGAGCCCGGCUGCGGGCCCUUCCCACCUCCACCUCAACACGGACCCCCCGCCGGCACAGGUACCCGCUGCCCAUCCGCCAGGGAGAACUGUGCCAACGUCUCCUGGCCUUGCGCCUUCACGGCCUCCACCGCCCGCCAGCCUCUGUGUCCGAUGCCAACCCAUCCUCUGUGGUCUUCCCUCGGCACAGCCACACCUGCUCCAAGGCUCCCUCCAGCCUUGCUCUGCAGGCGCCCGCUCGCGUAGGAGUCAUGACCGCUCUGGGGCUCCCUCACUCGAGGAGAAAAGCAGCGAAAAUAAGCCACUUAACGUGACGCUGCUGCUCCGUGCUCAGAGGGGAGGGGAGGGUCUCCUUCCUGACUCAGGAGAUGGACCCGCUGCCCCCAGGGGAGCAGUGGAUGCCCCACCUCUCACCCCGAAUCUCAUGAAGACGCUGAGUACUUCCCGCUAGGAGUCACCCCAGGGCCGCUGCACGAGGCUGCUAAAAUCGCGACUUUGUGCUUUGGUGUCGAGCCCAGAAACAUAAAUGGGGCGUCAGGGCAGGUGGACCCCGUUAUCUGGCUGUUCCGCGUCCCGCCACAACUCGGGAGGACGCAGGUUUGUGAGUUCGUGGACAGCACAUCGAGAGGCAGGUCCCGGCCUCCCCGAGUCUGGGUGGAACUAGCAACUGCCCGGACAGAGGACGGCCGUGGCAUGGUCACCCCGACACUUGCUCAGAAACGGCCCCUGCAGAACCUGCUGGUCCUUCCUGGGAGCCUGCAGCCCAGGGGCAGGUGAGAAGGUCCAGCUACGGUCAAGGACUGGGGAGGGACCCACCGAGGAGCCCCGUGGUCCCAGCCCCGUGCCUGCAUGUGGACCAAGACCCCGCCAUUACCUCACACACUAACUGACGCUGUGACAGUGAUGAGGGACCACAAGGCAGGCCGAGGCCCAGCACAAGCUAGCAUCCCCGGACCCCAGGUGGGAUAUGGGUGACAUUCCUUCCUCAGGCACUCCAGGCUGCCCAAGGACAAAAGGGAAAAACAAAUGGUUGAGAGAGAUCACGGUCAUACAGGACAUGAGUCUCCAUCAGGUUACACAUAUCUUGUUAGUAAAUUACAAGGCAAAGGCGGUCUUAUCAACGGCUUCAUCCCUACAAACCUGUAGACUCAGUUUCCCGGAGCCCCCACAUCACCCUCCCCUCCACAGGGAUGGGGGAACACAGGCCAGAAGGAAACAGCGGCUGAAACCGAACAUCCUCGUGACCUGCAGCCCGCAGACAAAUGCUCGAGGCAAAUACGGAGCAGAGCAUUUGUCCAGGAGCCCCGCCCCUCCUGGUGGUAAGGCCUUAGUAGAGGGAAACAACUUUGACAGCAGCGAGGCCCCUGGCGCCCUCUGGGUCCUCUUUAGCGUAUCAAGUCCUUCUAGAAACCUCCGUUUUGCCUUUACCUCCCCACCUCUACAGUAGAGAAGGAGUCACUCCUCACGACCCCAGCGCAGCUCUUCCCGCCCACAGGUAUGUCCCCGUGCUUCAAUAAAAUCACCUUCUUUUGCACCAA